GUUUCAGCUAAGUUGAGUUUUAUGCAGAAUAACUGAAUAUAACGAAUUUUUCCCAAUAAAUUUUAUGCCUUUUGAUAACUGCAGAGAUAUUCGUCAUUGAGAUCCCAGCACUUUUACUAGGCAGAAG
rnacentral:lncRNA from 1 species